rnacentral:rRNA from 1 species
GCAUAUCAAUAAGCGGAGGAAAAGAAACUAACAAGGAUUCCCCUAGUAACUGCGAGUGAAGCGGGAAAAGCUCAAAUUUAAAAUCUGGUAGCCUUUGGUUGCCCGAGUUGUAGUCUGGAGAAGCGUCUUCCGCGCUGGACCGUGUACAAGUCUCUUGGAACAGAGCGUCAUAGAGGGUGAGAAUCCCGUCUUUGACACGGACUACCAGUGCUUUGUGAUGCGCUCUCAAAGAGUCGAGUUGUUUGGGAAUGCAGCUCAAAAUGGGUGGUAAAUUCCAUCUAAAGCUAAAUAUUGGCGAGAGACCGAUAGCGAACAAGUACCGUGAGGGAAAGAUGAAAAGCACUUGGAAAGAGAGUUAAACAGUACGUGAAAUUGCUGAAAGGGAAACGCUUGAAGUCAGUCGCGUCGUCCAGAACUCAACCUGGCUUUGCUGGUGCACUUUCUGUGACGGGCCAACAUCAGUUUUGACUGUCGGAAAAAGUCCUUUGGAAUGUGGCACCUUCGGGUGUGUUAUAGCCUUUGGUCGUAUACGAUGGUUGGACUGAGGACCGCAGCACGCCUUUUGGCCGGGGUUCGCCCACGUACGUGCUUAGGAUGUUGCGUAAUGGCUUUAAGCGACCCGUCUUGAAACACGGACCAAGGAGUCUAACAUGCCUGCGAGUGUUUGGGUGGUAAACCCGAGCGCGCAAUGAAAGUGAAAGUUGGGAUCCCUGUCGUGGGGAGCACCGACGCCCAUACCAGAACUUCUGUGACGGAUAUGCGGUUGAGCAUGUAUGUUGGGACCCGAAAGAUGGUGAACUAUGCCUGAAUAGGGUGAAGCCAGAGGAAACUCUGGUGGAGGCUCGUAGCGAUUCUGACGUGCAAAUCGAUCGUCAAAUUUGGUAUAGGGCGAAAGACUAUCG